UACAGAGGUCUCAAGCGUUGUUCGGAUUCAUUGGGCGUAAAGGGUGCGUAGGCGGCGGGGUAAGUCAGGUGUGAAAUCUCGGAGCUCAACUCCGAAACUGCACUUGAUACUGCCUUGCUCGAGUACUGGAGAGGAGAUUGGAAUUUACGGUGUAGCAGUGAAAUGCGUAGAUAUCGUAAGGAAGACCAGUGGCGAAGGCGAAUCUCUGGACAGUUACUGACACUGAGGCACGAAGGCCAGGGGAGCAAACAGG
rnacentral:rRNA from 1 species